ACUUCAAUAGCACAUUGAAAACACCGGUUCUUAUCCGAUCACAAAGUUAAGCAAUGUAGAGCCCGGUCAGUACUUGGGAGGGUGACCUCUUAGAAACACCUGGUGUUGUACUU